rnacentral:rRNA from 1 species
UACGUAGGGUGCAAGCGUUAAUCGGAAUUACUGGGCGUAAAGCGCGCGUAGGCGGCUUUGCAAGUCGGGUGUGAAAUCCCCAGGCUCAACCUGGGAACUGCAUUCGAGACUGCAUUGCUAGAGUAUGGGAGAGGGAAGUGGAAUUUCCGGUGUAGCGGUGAAAUGCGUAGAUAUCGGAAGGAACACCGGUGGCGAAGGCGGAUCUCUGGGCCGUAACUGACGCUGAGGAGCGAAAGCAUGGGGAGCGAACAGG